CAGUCGCCGCGGGAAUACGUAGGUGGCAAGCGUUGUCCGGAUUUAUUGGGCGUAAAGCGAGCGCAGGCGGUUUCUUAAGUCUGAUGUGAAAGCCCCCGGCUCAACCGGGGAGGGUCAUUGGAAACUGGGAAACUUGAGUGCAGAAGAGGAGAGUGGAAUUCCAUGUGUAGCGGUGAAAUGCGUAGAUAUAUGGAGGAACACCAGUGGCGAAGGCGGCUCUCUGGUCUGUAACUGACGCUGAGGCUCGAAAGCGUGGGGAGCAAACAGGAUUAGAUACCCCUGUAGUCCCUGUCUCUUAUAC
rnacentral:rRNA from 1 species